AAAAAAUGUGAAAUCACAUGAAUUAAUGGCUUGAGAAAUUGUAUUUUAGUAAUUUUAAUUGUUAAUAUUCUGAUUUCAUAAUGAAAGGAUCUUUGAUUGUAAUUCAAGUCAUCCUUUAACCACUGAUGAGACUCUGGUCCCUGAAAAAUUAAAUGGUUUGUCCAAAGUCAAUAGUGAAAAGCAGACACUGGGACAAAGCCUAGACUAGCCACUUCAUCACUGUACCUCCGUAAGUAUUAGUUAUGUGAGACUUUCAGUGACCAGAGACUUUUGUCCAGCACUCACUCCAGUACGUAUGGAUUUUUAGGUGGCAUGGUACCAAGGAAUUAGGAUUUAGAGCCUUCGUGAUCAAAGCAAUAAGUCACUUAUUCUCAAGUCAGUGCUCUGAGAGAAUGUAAUAACAUAGAUGAAUAGUGCCUCACUAUGGUCAAAAUAUAUUCACAUGAAUAUCUGAUUUAACCCUUAUAAUAACUGAAAAUGUAAGGUUAAUAGGACAGGCACUAUCUUCUUUCUUACAGAGAAAGGGGAAGUUCAGGGUGUCUAUUAGCUUACUCAUGAGCAAAUAAGUCUGCUAAUAAGUGGUAUCAUUAAGGGGUAAGUGCUUUGGGCUCUGAUAACAAAAUGUUAUGGACUUUCAAGUUAGUGCCAAUGAAAAAGCCUGCAAAUAGAUACUAGUCAUUUAUUUUGGACUUUGAUAUAUCCUGCUGUGGCAUUUCCUCUUGCCAUGACAAUGGACUCGUUGGAAUGUGCCAAAUUCAAGGUCUUUAAGGAGUACCUGGUGCUAACAGCUUUUAAAAUCCACACUUCCACUUGCAAUACUUCUGUAUGUUUUCUUUAGAAUAAAGCAGAAAUUUAGAAAUUAAACAAAUCAGUCUAGUGAUUGCAACUCCAGAAUUGGAGUUCAGAGCAUUAUAUUCAUUUAAGGUGAGGUAGUAUAAAAAACAAAAACAAACAAACAACAACAACAACAAAAAAACAAAAAAAUGAUAGGUAGAAAGGAGACAAAGGAUGAAAAAGGAAAUUGUAGCUUUAAUCUGAAAACCUUGGGCUAAAAUUCCUCAUUCCUUUUCUCCCCAGACCAGUUUUCUCUCCUAGUCCUGUCACUCCCAAAUUCUUGAGAAAUCUGUAAAUGUUAAAGUUACUGUAAAUUCACUCACAAUGUUAAAGUUACUGAACAUUCACUCACUUAUGAAAAUUGCCUGGUGCACUGUGAAUUUGCCUACACAAUGUACUAACACAUGUAUUUUUAGAUUAGAUCAAACAAAGGGAGAUAUCAUAUUUUAAGGAAUCUGUAAUAUAGGGUACAUUGCCAAGGUUAUCUGCUGAUCAGAUAGAAGAGACAAUGUCAACCUAAAGACCCUGAGAAUGGCCAGACCACCAUAAACUGUAUUGUGAUCACCAGGCUGAUGUCAUACCCACAUACCAUUCCAUGCCCAUCCUUCAUAAAGCUUUCUUUAGAAGUCUGAGAUUCCAAAGCACUCUUC
rnacentral:lncRNA from 1 species